UACGUAGGGUCCGAGCGUUGUUCGGAUUUACUGGGCGUAAAGAGCGUGUAGGCGGCCAAACAGGUCCGUUGUGAAAACUGGAGGCUCAACUUCCAGACGUCGACGGAAACCGUGUGGCUAGAGUCCGGAAGAGGAGAGUGGAAUUCCUGGUGUAGCGGUGAAAUGCGCAGAUAUCAGGAAGAACACCAAUGGCGAAGGCAGCUCUCUGGGACGGUACUGACGCUGAGACGCGAAAGCGUGGGGAGCGAACAGG
rnacentral:rRNA from 1 species